GACGAACGCUGGUGGCGUGCUUAACACAUGCAAGUCGAACGGAAAGGCCCUGCUUUUGUGGGGUGCUCGAGUGGCGAACGGGUGAGUAACACGUGAGUAACCUGCCCUUGACUUUGGGAUAACUUCAGGAAACUGGGGCUAAUACCGGAUAGGAGCUCCUGCUGCAUGGGGGGGGUUGGAAAGUGUCGGCCGUUGGGGAUGGACUCGCGGCUUAUCAGCUUGUUGGGGGGGUAGUGGCUUACCAAGGCUUUGACGGGUAGCCGGCCUGAGAGGGUGACCGGCCACAUGGGGACUGAGAUACGGCCCAGACUCCUACGGUAGGCAGCAGUGGGGAAUAUUGCACAAUGGGCGGAAGCCUGAUGCAGCAACGCCGCGUGCGGGAUGACGGCCUUCGGGUUGUAAACCGCUUUCGACUGUGACGAAGCGUGAGUGACGGUAAUGGGUAAAGAAGCACCGGCUAACUACGUG
rnacentral:rRNA from 1 species